UUUCUCCCAACUGGAGCACCCUGAUAAAACCAGCAUUAUGGACAUGAUGUAUGUGCUUCCAAAUUGAGAUGAUGCAUUUUAAUUCUCUCAAUGCAUGGCAUGUACAGUGUGGUUCAACUUCAAAGGUGUUGAGUUGGCUGACUGUGUUCCCUGGGUAUCCACUGGUAGAUUGGUUCCAGGAGCCCCUGAAAAUACCAAAAUUCAGGAAUGUUCAAGUCCCGUGUAGAAAAUGGCACAUCCAGACUGUUAGUUUUGCUUCGCAAGACCAAGAACACCAGCAUUUCUCCUGA
rnacentral:lncRNA from 9 species